UCUAGGUACUACGGUAAGACGUGAAAACACCUGAUCCCAUUCCGACCUCGAUA
rnacentral:rRNA from 1 species